CCAGUAGCUCAGAGCGAGUGCUGGCGGGCGCCAUGGCCGCUGGUCCGCGCGGGAAGGCCGCGACUCUGGCCCUGAGGAGACGGCUACUCAGCAAUUCCUGCAGACUCUUUUUUCCUGAGGAUCCUAUUAAGAUUGUCCGGGGCCAAGGGCAGUACAUGUACGAUGAACAGGGGGCAGAAUACAUCGAUUGCAUCAACAAUGUGGCUCACGUUGGGCACUGCCACCCUCUCGUGGUCCAAGCAGCACAUGAACAGAACCAGGUGCUCAACACCAACAGCCGGUACCUGCACGACAACAUCGUGGAUUAUGCACAGAGGCUGUCCGAGACCCUACCGGAGAAGCUCUGUGUGUUUUAUUUCCUGAAUUCUGGGUCAGAAGCCAACGACCUGGCCCUGAGGCUGGCGCGCCAAUACACAGGACACUGGGACGUGGUGGUAUUAGAUCAUGCUUAUCAUGGUCACCUGAGCUCCCUGAUCGACAUCAGCCCCUACAAGUUCCGGGACCUGGAUGGCCAGAAGGAGUGGGUCCAUGUGGCACCUCUCCCAGACACCUACCGGGGCCCCUACCGGGAGGAUCACCCCAAUCCAGCUGUGGCCUAUGCCAGCGAGGUGAAACGUGUGGUCGGCAGCGCACAGGAGAAGGGCAGGAAGAUUGCAGCGUUCUUUGCUGAGUCUCUGCCCAGUGUGGGAGGGCAGAUCAUUCCCCCUGCUGGCUACUUCCCAGAAGUGGCAGGGCACAUCCGCAGGGCCGGAGGGGUCUUUGUUGCAGACGAGAUUCAAGUGGGCUUUGGCCGAGUAGGCAAGCACUUCUGGGCCUUCCAGCUGCAGGGAGAAGACUUUGUCCCCGACAUUGUCACCAUGGGCAAGUCCAUUGGCAAUGGCCACCCUGUAGCCUGUGUGGCCACAACACAAGCUGUGGCGAGGGCAUUUGAAGCCACCGGCGUCGAGUACUUCAAUACGUUUGGGGGCAGCCCAGUGUCCUGCGCUGUGGGGCUGGCCGUCCUGGAUGUCUUGGAAAAGGAGCAGCUGCAGGCUCAUGCUGCCUCUGUGGGCAGCUUCCUGAUGGAGCUCCUUGGACAGCAGAAAGCCAAACAUCCCAUCCUUGGGGACAUCAGGGGCGUUGGGCUCUUCAUUGGUGUGGAUCUGAUCAAAGAUGAGGCCACAAGGAUGCCAGCAACCGAAGAGGCGGACUAUGUGGUGUCCAGGCUGAAAGAAAACUACAUUUUGUUGAGCACCGAUGGCCCCGGGAGGAAUGUCCUGAAGUUCAAGCCCCCGAUGUGUUUCAGCUUGGACAACGCACGACACGUGGUAGCAAAGCUGGAUGCCAUCCUGACAGGUGAGCCUGGAGACCCAAGGGGCAGCUGAUAACUGUGUCUCUAGAACCCAGCCUGGAGCUAGGACCUCCCAGCAUGCCCAGGGACAGGGUUGCAACAGCUGAGCCAGGUGUCCUCUGAACAGUGCAGGGAGUAGGGAGCUGAAGUGGAGGCCUCCCCUAUUCCUGCCUGUGCCCGCAAAAAAUCUGAGCCCUGGGCAGGUGGGAACUGAGCCACCACCCAUACUGCCUGGCAGGCACCAGUGUGGCAUGCAGGACAAGGGAAGCAGGGCUGGGCUUUUAAGCCCAACUAUUGGAACUAGUGGGAGAUUCCAUUGUCUUUGCUUUUUUCAGCUUCUAAGUGGCUGAAAUGAGAUUUGCACCCUGGACUGAUUCAACACAAAAUGAAAUCCUUCUGCACAUUCUUCAUCAUUUAGGAAAGUCAAGCUCUCCCCUAAAUCCACUUACAAGGAUAUCUAUAAUUACCAAAUUGGACACAUCUAUGCACUGAGGCCAUGUUGCAUGUACAGAGCUCAGUGGGGGACCCCAAAAUAGGCAAAAUGCUUAUCUUCCUGGUAGAGAUCAGAGCAGCCCAGCUACAACCACCCCCACCCCACCCCCAAGCUAUUUCACUGCUGUCCCCAGGUUUCUAGAGCUGAGGCCAGUCCCUACUAGACACAACUGGAGGUGGUACAGAACGUGCUGGGGGAAGGGAAUGUAUUUCCUGGAAGCCUGCGGAGGAAAAGCUGACUGGGCACAGAACUGGCUUGGAGUUACUGUAUAGAGGAGACUUCAGUUGAGCCUGGAAGCCUCAGGAAAUCUGAGGGUGGGUUUUGUCCUCUUGGGAAAUUGUUGCUGACCCUGUGGUGGCCUGUACACACGGGUAAAGGGUGGGACGUGGGCUUGGACAGGCCAGUGGGCCCAAUCUCCACACUGCCAUCCAAGAAGCCUGGACACUGAAGGCAGAAGUCUUUAGCAGAGAAAGGUUGACCAUCUUUUUCAGACAUGGAAGAGAAAGUGAGAAGUUGUGAGACACUGAGGCUCCAGCCCUGAGGCAGCUCUGCUGAGGGGUGUCCUCUAGGUAAGUGGCCUUUCCUAGAGAACCAGAACUGGGUUCCUUACCAUCCAUUUAGUAGCUCCUUCAACAUUCUUGUUGCAAGUGAUGUCCCCUUCCCACAAGUUAGUUUUAAUACUGGGAGACUCUAGCUGCCUUGGGCUCUCCCCAUCCCCCACCCCUGAAAAAUCU